rnacentral:rRNA from 1 species
UACGGAGGGGGCUAGCGUUGUUCGGAAUUACUGAGCGUAAAGCGCACGUAGGCGGCUUUGUAAGUUAGAGGUGAAAGCCCGGGGCUCAACUCCGGAAUUGCCUUUAAGACUGCAUCGCUCGAAUUGUGGAGAGGUAAGUGGAAUUCCGAGUGUAGAGGUGAAAUGCGUAGAGAUGUGGAGGAACACCAGUGGCGAAGGCGACUUUCUGGUCUGUAACUGACGCUGAGGCGCGAAAGCGUGGGGAGCAAACAGG